rnacentral:rRNA from 1 species
GAUGAACGCUGGCGGCGUGCCUAAUACAUGCAAGUCGAGCGAACGGACGAGAAGCUUGCUUCUCUGAUGUUAGCGGCGGACGGGUGAGUAACACGUGGAUAACCUACCUAUAAGACUGGGAUAACUUCGGGAAACCGGAGCUAAUACCGGAUAAUAUUUUGAACCGCAUGGUUCAAAAGUAAAAGACGGUCUUGCUGUCACUUAUAGAUGGAUCCGCGCUGCAUUAGCUAGUUGGUAAGGUAACGGCUUACCAAGGCAACGAUGCAUAGCCGACCUGAGAGGGUGAUCGGCCACACUGGAACUGAGACACGGUCCAGACUCCUACGGGAGGCAGCAGUAGGGAAUCUUCCGCACUGGGCGAAAGCCUGACGGAGCAACGCCGCGUGAGUGAUGAAGGUCUUCGGAUCGUAAAACUCUGUUAUUAGGGAAGAACAGAUGUGUAAGUAACUGUGCACAUCUUGACGGUACCUAAUCAGAAAGCCACGGCUAACUACGUG